GAUGAACGCUGGCGGCGUGCCUAAUACAUGCAAGUCGAGCGAACGGACGAGAAGCUUGCUUCUCUGAUGUUAGCGGCGGACGGGUGAGUAACACGUGGAUAACCUACCUAUAAGACUGGGAUAACUUCGGGAAACCGUAGCUAAUACCGGAUAAUAUUUUGAACCGCAUGGUUCAAAAGUGAAAGACGGUCUUGCUGUCACUUAUAGAUGGAUCCGCGCUGCAUUAGCUAGUUGGUAAGGUAACGGCUUACCAAGGCAACGAUGCAUAGCCGACCUGAGAGGGUGAUCGGCCACACUGGAACUAAGACACGGUACAGACUCCUACGGGAGGCAGCAGUAGGGAAUCUUCCGCAAUGGGCGAAAGCCUGACGGAGCAACGCCGCGUGAGUGAUGAAGGUCUUCGGAUCGUAAAACUCUGUUAUUAGGGAAGAACAUAUGUGUAAGUAACUGUGCACAUCUUGACGGUACAUAAUCAGAAAGCCACGGCUAAAUACGUG
rnacentral:rRNA from 1 species